GUAAAUGAAUAUGGGAUCCAUCGAUCCACCAAAGUCGACCACCCCAUUUCUGCAAUUUCUUUUCUCUGCGCCGAUCACAAGAUAUCCAUUUCACCCCCACCGGCGAUUCGCCCUACCAGCCGCAACCGCGAUCUGCCACCUUCCACUGCGAUUCGCCGCUCCCUGCUUCGGGAUUCAACCAUGGAUUAUCGCCGCGUCGGCACCCACCAUGACUCGCCGCGCCAUCGUCAACGGCCACUCCGACUCCGACGCUCUCAACAUCGACCCGGCCUCCAUCGCCGCGAUCUGCCUACGCCACCUCCAUCGAUAAACAUACCGCCUCCACCGUGAUUCGCCGGCCCUGCAUCGAUCUAACCCAUCCCAUAUUUCUCUCUCUUCAAGCAUCUCAAACCAUUUCUGACCAUGGAGGUGUUGAAAGCUCAAAACUGCACUUCCCCCACCACGAUUCGCCCCGCUGGCCUCCGCCGCGAUCUGCCACCUCCCUUACUCCCUCCCCCACCGCGAUUCGCGGCGUCGGCCCUGCAUCGAUCUACCCAUGGUAAGUUUUUCUCCUCCAUGGUAAGUUUUCUAUUAGGAAAGAUUACAAUAGUAAAUAUAGAAUGAUUUCUCUACUUUAGAAAGAACUUUUUUUGGAAAGAUUAAAAGUAUAUACAAGGUAAAUGUUUAACAAUAGGAAUGAUUUCUCUACUUUAGAAAGAACUUUUUUUGGAAUGAUUUCUCUUUCACGCAAUACAUGAUUUUUGGUUUGGAUUUUGUUAAUUAACUCUAUAUGAUUGCCACCUCUCCUCAUCGGCGCCGCCGAUCCCUUCCAACGCAGGUUUAUCGCCGCCUCCUCUGCCAUGGUAAGUAUUCAAUUAGGAAAUAUUACAAUUGUAAAUAUAGAAUGAUUUCUUGCCACCGUGAUUCUUCUUACACAUAAAUGGUAAGUAUUAAAUCAGUUUGCUGAUUUAACACGUUUGACUAUUGUGAAUAUAGAAUGAUUGUGGUCAACUUUAGAAAGAACAAAUUUUGGAAUGAAGUUUUAAAAUGGAAACUUAUAACCUAGAUUUUUAGCUAUAAAUUCCUUAGUUAAAAUGAUUUACAGCGCAUUGUGUUUUACAGCCAACGCAAUGUACCUUUCUUUUCUUUUGCCGCAACCGGAUCCCUUACGGUGAGAUUCUCAUUGCUGAGCUAUUGAUGGUGAAAAGAAUAGGUUGUGUUUGUUCUUCAUACUUUGAGGUUCUUAUUUUUGUUGUCUGGUUCAUUCAGUUUCAUGUUUCUUUCCGACCAAGUAAGUUUGAUCUUCUGGCCCCAUGACAUAACUGAAAGCAUAAGCUGCUUCUUUACAUUGUUAUAUCCUGCCUUGCACUUAUUUGCCUCUUGGGUAUUUACUGAUUAGUAUAAUAUUUACUUGGUCAGUCGUCAUUUCUCUAGAAUAUUAGUAUCAUUGUUUAGUUCGUGGAUAUAACUCUAAUAUUUUCCAUGAGUGACAUAGUAUUAGAUUAUUUGAGAUGUAAUAUUAUAACUUUUUUUGUUGGCUUCUCAGUAAAGUUGCGGCUUUUUAUGUUGGUAUAAUUCAUCUUUAAGAAUAUGUGAAUGGUGUUGCAGUUCAUUAUUCAAGUUUCUAUGGUGAGUCAUUUUAAUUAAGAGGAAAGCUUGCUUUAUGAUUCUUGCUUGCAGCAAUACACUGGCACCUUGCGAAGAUUUUGAUACACCUAGCAUGGUCAUUGCAGGAGUCUGCAGAUGUGGAACUAUUAUCAUUGUUUUUCAAUUGCUGAGUUUUGUUCUGUCAACUUUGUUGUCAGUUUUCUAAAUAGAUAACCUUUAUUUUCUAACAUGUCCAGGAAUAUUGCAGGACAAGAGAGAUUUAGGAGUUUCAUCCCAAGAUAAUAUAAGAGACUCCUUUGUUGUAGUCAUAGUUUAUGAUGUUGCUUUAUAUGUUCAAGCUGUUUAAAAUUCUCGGUUGCAUGGGAGCACGAACAAUUUUCAAGGCUGAGAGUUACUGCUGCAACACUGUCCGAGCUUUCUGUCGCACCUGAUUAUAUAGAAAGUGCUGGAGGUCUGUCAGAUAGCAUUUUGUAACUCGAAGAAUGAGAAUCGCUUAUCUUUGUCUUCGAAUUUGGAACUCCUUUCUUUUCUUUCCUGUAUGAAUCUUUCUUUAGUCAACCAUGGUCACCUCUGCAGUCAUUUUGUUGAUGAAGAUUCAAUAACUAAUGUGGGUGCAAAGUUUUCAUAUUGGGUUUCAUGGUACUUCUUUAUUUGUUCUUUACGUAUCCAUAGGAAUAUCAUCUCCAAUUGGUUUGUGGUCCAUUCAUUCAGACACCAAUUUAGUUUGUAUUUAGAUUUGUUGGAUUUUAUCUUCAUACUAUGAAAACUGAGAUUGUAGUGGGUGGCGGAUAUCCGACGGGUAGCAAGUUGGUGGAUACCCGACGGUUGGCGGGUAUCUGCAAGUCGCGGGACGUCGACACCGAGAAACAACAGCUCCCCUACCUCUCAAGCCUCGGCGGGUAUCUGACGGGUAGUGGGUGGCGGGUAUUCGACGGAUAGCGGGUGACGGAUACCUGAUGGGUGGCGAGUAUCUGUUGGUCGCGUGUAUGGGUGGAAAAUAAUUUUUUUGAAUAUAUGUGUCGCUAAGUCAUGUUAAGGAUGAAAGUCAUCUUUAAUUUAUUUUUUCAUUUUAGUUUGAUGUGUAACAUUGACCUAUAUCAUAUUAACAAUUUUUUUAGUGAAU